rnacentral:misc_RNA from 1 species
GGAGAACAUAUGAUUUUCUCAGUUGCCUAAUAGCCCAGGUACCUUGCUUAGCAAUUCAUAUAUUAAUAAAUCAUGCACCUUAUCCACCAAUAGUGACUUCCACCAGCCUAAUUCAUUUGAAAGGUGGUCUGCUGAGUUAAAUAUUAGAAUAGAUGCAACAUGAACAGUAAGAGCUAAACAAAAUGCAUUGCAGUUCCAUAGACAGAAUCAAGUACAAAGUCCCUAUUUAAC